rnacentral:misc_RNA from 1 species
GUAGGUGAACCUGCGGAAGGAUCAUUACAGUGUUCCCUGCCCUCACGGGUAGAAACGCCCACCCUUGUGUAAUAUAUCAUGUUGCUUUGGCAGGCCGCCCCUGGGCACCGGCUCCGGCCGGGUCGCGCCUGCCAGAGGACCCCAAACUCUGAAUGUUAGUGUCGUCUGAGUACUAUAUAAUAGUUAAAACUUUCAACAACGGAUCUCUUGGUUCUG